UUGAGAGCCAGGAUUCAGAGGGAGCUGGAGGCUAAAGCUGAAGCUGUAAGAGAAAAAGGACUAGUGGUAAGAGCUCUUGGAACCAAGGAAAGCUAAUUGGGCUUUUUUUGGAAGAGACAAUAAAGGAAUGAACUUUUACCAGUUGGCUGCAUUUGAGGUGAUUAUUACUUUGAACUGAACCUAAGGCUGCCUCCAGAAACCCCCCAAGAAAUCUGCUCACAGAGAACAAUUAUAUUUUAGACAAGAGAACAUUACACUUUUUCACUAUAUUUGUCCCUAUAAUUUAAUUAGAUUUUCCUUUAAGUACUUAGAUAUUAUUCCACUCAGUGAAUAUAUAUUAAAUAUCAAAUGCCAAUAUUGUUGUUUCCUUGUUUAUCUCUUUCAAUCAUACCUAUUAUUACUCUUUCCUGUUUUGAAAUCAUGAUUGUUAUUCUGCUUUUAAUAAUUAACUAAACCAAAUAAAUUCUGCUCUAGCACUUGAAUUUAACUCCAUGUGUAUCUUUAUGUUCCAGGUAUUCCUUAUGAACAACACAUUGAUGGGAGUUGCUCUUGGAUAAAUCCUAUUCUCUUCCAUUUCACUGUUGAAGAGUAAAAAGAUUGGGGAUUUACCUAAUAGGUGAAGUCCAAGAAAGGAACUAGUAUAGAGAAAGCUCUGAUGGAGUAGAUCGUUUUUUGAACUGACCAAGGACAUGGAAUCAUCAAGUCAAAGAUGGGACAAGAUUCAUUCCAACUUCCACCUUUGUGCUGGCUGGAGGCUUUGGAUUCAGAGGGAGCUAGAGACUGAAGUUGGCAGAGGAAAAGGACUAGAGACAAGAUCUGGAAGGCCUCCUGAAAAGCUAGCCAAGCCCCAAGUGAAAGAAAAAGAAAAUAAAGAAUUUGAACUUUAACAGCUGGCUGCAUUUGAGGUGAUUAUUAUUUUGAACUAAAACUAAGGCUGCCUCCAGAAGCUCCCUAAGAAACCUGCUCAGAGAGAACAUUAUAAUUUAGAGAAGAAAACAUUACAUUAUUCUUUUUUCAUUCCAGUGAUUUUGAAACUUUGGCUGUUUUUGUACUAAGCCCAUUUCCAUACUCUACUGCCUACUCCUUUACUCCCAUAUUCUCAAUGCUAUGCCUCCCCCAAUAUUCCCCUUUCAGAUCUACCCACCCCUUCUACUGCUUUCAGUAGAAAUUCAAAUUAAUACAUUUGUUUUCAUCUUAAGUCUUUUUCUUUAUUCAUCUUUUCAUCUUCUGGCACUCACUAAGACUUGGCUUUCUUCUGAUGAUACAACAGGUUUGAUCACUCUUUCUUGUCCCAGUGUGUUUUCAUUUAUUUCCCCCAACUCAUUUGGCCUAGUGAAAGAGUGGGGAUAGUCACCAAGUUCUGUUUCUAUUGAUUGCUUUCCAUAUUUUCAACUAGGUGGCAUAGUGGAUAAAGCACCAGUCCUGAAAUCAGUAAUUCCUCAG